AGCACCAGCACUUCCGCCUCCACCAACAACUGGAAGCAAGUCAUCACUUCCACCCCUGAAAAGCCCCAUGGCAGGCACAUUUUAUAGAUGCCCAGCUCCUGGGGAGCCUCCAUUUGUUAAGGUAACUAUCUAACAAUAGCCCUUGACUUCUAAAGCUAUACAUUUUGCCUAAUUUAAGUAAUGCUGAUGCAUUUUUCUUUAAAUCUCGGUUCAUUAUAACGAACACUUUUGUCCAUUGUGCAUCUUGUUUAGUGUUCAACAUUUACCUUGGCAAAUAUUCUGCCUAGACUCUAACUGAUCUGAGACCAUCAUAUAUAGGCUGGGGACAAAGUCCAAAAAGGACAGGUGGUUUGCAUCAUCGAGGCUAUGAAAUUGAUGAAUGAGAUUGAGGUAUUCUCUGUUCCAUUCCUUCAAUUUUCAAUGUCUGUUUAUUGAACUUUAUGUUUUUAACAAUUAGAUAGUCUAACUUUAGCUAUCAAUGUGGUAAAUAGAAUUCAGUUGUUCUGGAUUUUGGUGAAGAUAUGAUAAUUAUCAUUUAUUAUUUGUCGACUUUCUCUGGCUACAGGACUUUACUAGUCUUAUACUUAUCAGCCACCAUGUUACCUCUACUGAUUUGGAUGAUCCAAGGGUGUUUGUAAAUACACGCAGAAAGUUGUCUUAUGGAAAUAAUUGGUCUAUGAACAGAACUAGAUUCCUUUUCCCCUAUCAUUUUUGAAAAUUUAGGUAGACUUGUUAUUUAGAAAAGCCUGUGAAAGUAUUGGAACAAAUAUUUGUUUCAAAAGCUAGAAAAGACAAAGAAAUACAAAGGCUCCAUAGAAACAGGCGAGGGCCUUUGAUGAAAUGAGCAUAUCAUGCAGCACUUGGUGUCUCAUAUCUACAACCUUUUCAUCGUGCAGGCUGAUCAAUCUGGAACAGUAGUCGAGAUACUCGCAGAGGAUGGAAAGCCAGUUAGCGUUGACACGGUACCUCUUCUCUUAAUUCCCUCAAGAAUCCCGACCCUCCCUCUUCUUUCACUCUACUGAAAGUUGUGUGCGUUGCUCUUUUGCAGCCUUUACUUGUAAUUCAGCCCUGAAAGGUCAGAAGCAUACUUAGUUUUACAUUUAUCUGUCACACAUUUAUAUUAUCACCUUUCGCUGUGCAGUUCUGCACAUCGCAAUUGCUUGUUUGAUUUCAUUGUCAAAUCUACUCAAGAAUUAAGGUAAAAUGAUGGUCCAAUGUGCUUGGUAGCUAGGUGGUGGAAGCUUCACGAAAUCUGCAAGAAAACAGUUUGUUCCAAAUAUCUUCUACUAAAGAAACCCUGUUAUGUAAGAUUCAAAGACGAGAUCAAUUUGUAAUUUCUGUUGCCUUGAGUGUUAUAUGAGAUGCGUUACAUGCAUGAAAAUUUAUGAAGAUGGACAUGGUCGUAAAAAGGCAUACGAGCUUUGACGCCUUCCAUUUACCACUCAAAUAAAAUGUAUGCUCAUUAAAUCGUGGACGGGAAAUGGAAUAGUUGAUUGGCAAGAACAGGCACUUAAACAUGAAGGAUGACAUACCUGAGUUGUUCUGAACAAGAUGUUCUUCUACUUGUCUUUUGUGAGAGUGAUCGUUACUCUGGACUUGUAGCCAUUUUAUUUUCUUUGAAAUAACGAG
rnacentral:lncRNA from 1 species